AUACGAGCGCGCAGAGCAAUAUUUAUGCUUGAAAUAGAACGAUACAGAGAAGAUUAGCAUUACAUCAUCGCCAGGAUGAUACGCGCAUUUGUGAAGCCUUCCCUAUGUUG